ensembl:snRNA U6 U6 spliceosomal RNA
ACACUUUAACAAUAUGUACACUAAAAUUGGAGUAAUAUGGAGAAGAUUAGCAUGGUACCUGUGCAAGGAUAAUGUACAAAUCCAUUGAACACUUUAUUAUUAUA